CGCCCCCCCCUCCCGUGGUUUCGCCUCCGCCCCCCGCACCCCUCGGUCGCCCCCAAGCAAGCAGUUCCACCGGCACCCGCGGCCCGCCUCGCCUCGCUCCCUUCCUUCGUGCGCGGCAGCAGUUGCAUCGCGUGCCUCCCCAACCCAAAUCGCCGGUCCCUGCCACGAUCUGCUACCGCAUCAGCGCCCCACCGCAAAACCCGUGCUCCCGCCCCAUCGCGACUCCACCGCCAACGUCGUGACUCCGCCAGGCCACCGCAAGGUGGUGCUGCUGCCGGUGCCCGCCGCUCCUCCCCGUCCUGCACUGCUGGGCGAUCUAGGCGCGGUGGCGCACCCAGCGGCGUAGUCGACGCGGAGGUCGACGUCUCCGAGCGGGCGCAUCGAGACGACCGUAGUCGUAGGGCUCGUAGUUGCCUCAUCGUCAUGUCUAUGGUCCCCAACCCCCAGGUAACCUUGUAUAUGUCUCAACGUCUUUAGGAGAUGCUCACAAAUUAUCUGAAUCCACCAUCCACAAUCACAUCCAUUGGUCGGGUCUAGGCGCAUACCAUUCAUUGAAAUCAGAACCAGAAACUCAAGCAUGGUCUAUCCACGGUGGAACAGAGAGGCAUAUAGUGAAGGUGAAUAACAACUGACUUGCUUGAUACCAGAGAUUGUAGUAUAACACCUUGGCUAAAGUUAUGUGCUUCUCUGGUGGGACGAUGUUAUAGUUAGUCUCUACAAAAAGAAGCAACAAUGGUAGCAACUACCUAAUUGGUAGCUACAGAAGCUCUAUUCUCUUGAGCUUCCAUCCAAUCACGUCUGCAGCCAUGCAGAAAGAAGCUCGAGGGUAAGCAAGGCAUCGUGGUGGACCAAGUUGUGCAGCCAUCACCAUUCUUUGCUCACGAAACCAGAUUCUUAUACCACUUCAAACGGUUACAACAUGCGGUAUUUAUAAUCUUUUUGUUCUAGACAUGUCUAGAAGAGCUCUCUACAUAGUAGACCAAACUCCUAAACCUGAUCUCUACAAGAUUCAACCACUAAAAAAAUAUACAAACAAAAUUCAAAGGGUUUCCACUGUCCUAAAUGAAGUCAUGAAGGUUUCAUGCCUUUGGUGGCGAGUUGAUUUAAUCCUCUUUGACCAUAGAGUUGCAGAAGUCAACCAAUUUGAGUUAAAUGGAUAACUACUUUUACAAUAGAAACUAUUCGUUCUUAUAUUCUACUAUAUAUAUAUAAUAGUAAUAAUUUAAUGCUU